GAAUCAGUUUUCUCUCCUAUGAGAACCUUUCCUUUUUUGCUUGUGGAUUCAGGCACCCCCUUGUAGACUCAAGGGUUGGAGACUCCAAAUCUGUGGAUUCAGAGGUUGGUUUCUUCUCCAAGAUUAGAGCUUUGUGGAUUCAAGCCCAAAUCUUAUUUAUCUUCCGCAUCACUACUGCGUUAGUUGGUAUCAAAGCAAGUCAACAUUUCAGUCAAGGUUCAAAGAUGUCACGAGGUAAAUCUGCUCAUAUUGGUAAUGAUGAUUCACCUGAAGUUGCUCCUAUGUUAAAGUCAGAUUUUCUGUUAUUUCAAGAUCGAAUAGAUCAGAAAUUUGAUGAUCUUAAUGAAACCUUGAAACAACUUUUGGUUAGAAUGAGUACAUUAGAGGGUCAUUCACGCCCCCCUAGAGAUCAUGAAAUCAGACGUUCUCAGAAAGUCACUCAUGUCGAAUCUUCAUCAGAUACUCACUGUACAUCUGGUUCUACAAGUUCUAAAUCAAGAUUUGAAGAAGAUAAUUUUCGAGAUUUUCGUAUAAAGAUUGAUUUACCUUGUUUUAAUGGCCAUUUGAAGAUUGAAGAGUUCUUAGACUGGUUAGUUGAAGUAGAACAAUUUUUUGAGUAUAUGAAAAUUUCAGAUGAAAACAAGGAAAGUUGUUGGCUUAUAAAUUGAAGGGUGGAGCCUCUGCCUGGUGGGAUCAAUUACAGACCACCCAUACAAGGUCAGGCAAAGAACCUGUACGAUCAUGGGAGAAAAUGAAGAAACUUUUGAAAUCUCGUUUUCUUCCCUCAGAUUAUGAACAGAUUUUAUAUCAAUAGUAUCAAACUUGCAGGCAAGGAAAUAGAUCAUUUUCUGAUUAUGCUGAAGAAUUUUAUCGUUUAUCUUCUCGAAUUGACAUGACAGAAUCUGAGUCAUAUAUGAUUUCAAGAUUUAAAGGUGGUCUCAGAUGGGAAAUUGAAGACAAAGUAGCUUUACAAUCAUUUUUCAAGCUCAAUGAUAUUAUAAUGGCUGUAAAAUGUGCUGAAGCUUUAUUAGAGAAAGGAAAAACUAGAAUUCGAAAUUUUAGAAAUCAAAAUUCAACUCCUCAGCCAGAAAGAGGAAGAUCCACUGGUUUUUCUUCUACACCCCACAACGAACGACUGAAUCAAAGUUCUGUUAGAUCAAGUGGAGCAAAUCUUACUGCCCAAGUCUCUUCUAACAAAAAUCCUUAUACUCCUAAUGUCAUUCCUAAAUGUUACAAGUGUGGAGAAAAUGGACACAAAUCAAAUAUCUAUCCGAAACGUGGCACAAUAAACCUUGCAGAUUCUAUUGAAGAAGAAAUAGAAUAUGAAAAACUAGAAAUUGAAGGUGAGCAAGAAGAAAAUUUUAUUGAAUUUGAUACUGGAGAUGCACUGUCCCAUUCACUUGUGGUGAGAAGAUUGAUGUAUUCACCAAAAAGAGAAGAAGACCCACGGCGCCAUAACAUUUUCAGAACAAGGUGCAUAGUGAAUUCUAAGGUAUGUGAUAUAAUUAUUGAUAGUGGCAGUAGUGAAAACAUUGUCUCCUCUAUCAUGGUUAAAAAAUUAGGUUUGCAGACAAGGCCACGCCCUCAUCCAUACCGAAUUGGUUGGAUCAAGAAGGAAAUAGAAACUAAAGUUUCAGAGAUGUGUUUGAUCAAAUUUUCAAUUGGGAAAACAUAUUCUGAUGAAAUACAAUGUGAUGUUGUUGAAAUGGAUGCUUGUCACAUGAUAUUAGGCAAACCAUGGCAAUUUGAUGUUGAUGCUACACACCGUGGUAAGGAAAAUAUUUAUAUUUUCUAUAGAAAUGGUAAAAAAUUUGUUUUGGCACCAAUGUAAGACAGUGAUUUUAGCAAAGGAAAAGAAGAGAGAAAAAAAGUAAUGUUAAUCAACCAAAUAGAGUUUCUUAAAGAGUUUGAUAUUAAUACUGUAUUAUUUGUUGUUGUUCAAAAACCUGAUUCGAACAUGAUAAUCAGAAAUAGGAUACCAAAAACUGUUGAAAAUCUGUUAUCUGAAUUUUUUGUAAUUCAAGAACUAUCAACUCAUCUGCCACCACUGAGAGAUGUACAGCAUCAUAUUGAUCUUAUAUCAAGAGCAAGUUUGCCAAAUCUUUCACAUUACAAGAUGACUCUAGAAGAAAAUCAAAUUCUACAAGAACAAGUAAAAGAUUUAUUGAGUAAAGGAUUGAUAAGAGAAAGUAUGAGCCCAUGCUCUAUGCCUGCUCUACUAGUUCUAAAGAAAGAUGGAAGUUGGCAAAUGUGUGUUGAUAGCAGAGCAAUUAACAAGAUAACAAUUAAGUAUAGAUUUCUAAUUCCAUGCCUAGAUGACAUGUUGGAUAUGCUCUGUGGUUCUAAAAUUUUUUCAAAAGUUGAUUUAAAGAGCAGAUAUCAUCUGAUUCGAAUUCGACAAGGAGAUGAAUGGAAGACUGCGUUUAAAACUAAGGCAGGUCUUUAUGAAUGGUUGGUCAUGCCUUCUGGUUUAUCUAAUGCCCCUAGUACCUUUAUGAGAGUGAUGAAUCAGGUUCUGAAACCUUUUAUUGAUAAAUUUGUCAUUGUUUAUUUUGAUGACAUUAUUAUUUACAGUACUACAGAAGAAGAACACAUUAAACAUCUCAGAUCAGUGUUUCAAGUGUUACAAUAGAAUAAAUUAUACAUUAACUUGAAAAAAUAUGACUUCAUGACUACUAGUUUAUUAUUCUUGGGAUAUAUUGUAAGUGCAGAUGGAAUCAAAGUGGAUGAAGAAAAGGUCAAAGCUAUUAAAGAUUGGUCAACACCAACCACAAUUCAUCAGGUUUGAAGCUUUCAUGGGUUGGCAUCAUUUUAUAAAAGGUUCAUACGAAAUUUUAGCUCAAUAAUGUUUCCAAUUACUGAAUGUAUGAAAAAAGGUAAUUUUAAAUGGACUGAUGAAGCAAGUAAAGUCUUUUCAAUGAUAAAAGAAAAAUUAUGUUCUACUCUUGUUUUGGCCCUACCAAAUUUUGAUAAACUGUUUGAAGUGGAAUGUGAUGCAUCCAUAGUUGGUGUUGGAGGUGUAUUAUCACAGGAAGUUCGGCCAAUAGCAUUUUUUAGUGAAAAACUUUCUGAGGUAAGAAAGAAAUGGACAACAUAUGAAUUAGAAUUUUAUGUCGUGGUUCGUGCUUUACAAACAUGGGAACACUACUUGAUUCAGCGAGAAUUUAUUUUAUAUACUGAUCAUCAGGCUCUUAAAUCAGUCAAUAGUCAAACUUCUAUUAAUAGAAUGCAUGUCAAAUGGAUCACAUUCCUUCAACAUUUUACUUUUGUUAUUAAACAUAAGUCAAGGAAAUUGAAUCGAGUUGCAGAUGCACUUAGUAGAAAAAUAGCAUGUUUGGUGAACUUGCAUGCUGAGAUCACAGGAUUUGACUAUCUCAAAGAAUUAUACCCAGAUGAUGAUGAUUUUUCUCAACAAUAUAUGAUCUGUAUGUCAGGAAUAUCAACCAAAGGUUUUCAUUUACAUGAUGAUUUCUUAUUUUGAGGAACACAGUUAUAUAUUCCUCGUAGCUCUUUAAGAGAGAAACUUCCACGAGAAUUACACUCUUUAAGUUUAGCAGGACACCUUGGUCAAGAUAAGACAUUAUAGUCAAUUGAAGAGCGGUAUUAUUGGCUUAAACUGAAGAAAGAUGUAGAAAAUUUUGUUCGUAAAUGUCAGGUUUGUCAAACCUACAAGGGACAAAGUCAAAAUACUGAACUAUAUACACCGUUGCCGAUUCCACAACGUCCUUGGGCUGAUAUUUCUAUGGACUUUAUAUUAGGUUUACCACAAACACAAAGAGGAGCUGACUCAAUUUUUAUUGUCGUUGAUCGAUUUUCAAAAAUGGCACACUUCAUCGCAUGUAAAAAGACAAAUGAUGCAAGUCAAGUAGCCAAUCACUUUUUCAAAGAAAUUAUUUGUCUACAUGGAAUUCUUGAGUCAAUUACAUCUGACAAAGAUUCUAAGUUUGUAUCUCACUUCUUGCGAACUCUUUGGAAAAGGUUUGACACAUUUUUGAAAUUUAGUAGCACUAAUCACCCACAAACUGAUGGCCAAACUGAAGUUGUGAACAAAACUCUUGGCAAUUUGAUUCGUUGUAUUUCAAGAGAAAAGCCAAAAUAAUAGGAUUAUGCUUUGGCUCAAGCAGAAUUUGCUUAUAAUUUGAUGAUUAAUCGUUCAAUGAACAAAUCUCCAUUUUCAAUAGUAUACUAUUUUCCUCCAAGAAUUCUAUUAGAUCUAUUAUAAGUAUCAAGAUCAGUUAGAACUAGUGUUGGUGCAAAUAAUAUGGUGGACCAUAUCAAAACACUUCAUGAAAGUGUGAUACACAAUCUCACAAUAAAUUAUGAGAAAUAUAAAGUAGCAACAUAUAAGAAAAGAAGAAAGAAGAUAUUUGAAGUUGGCGACAAAGUGAUGGUGUACCUUUGCAAAGAACGAUUUCCAGUAGGUAGCUACAAUAAGUUGAAGCCAAAGAAAUAUGGACCGUAUCAAGUUCUAUAGAAGAUCAAUGAUAAUGUAUACCUUAUUAAGCUCCCACCAAAUAUGACUAUUUCACCCACAUUUAAUGUCAGUGACAUAUACGAGUAUUAUGAAUAUUCAAAUGAAGACUCGAGGACGAGUUUUCUUGAAGAAGGAGAGACUGAUGUAGCCCAAGACACAAGUUGAAGUCCUAACUUCGAAGUUGGGCCCAAUUACCCUAAAUUUGGGCCAUAAAGUGAAAAGUAGUAAAGAGGGAGCCCACAUAUGUCACUAGUGGGCUAGAGGUCCGAAAAGUAAUACUUACUUUCUACUUUAUGUCCUUUCACUUCUAGAAGGCAUUUUAUGUCUCUUUCCUUCUAGAAGGAACUUUAAUGUGGUUCAAUCUGUACCCAAGAUAUGCUCAAGAUAUCAGAUUGUUAGAGUUUAUACCUAAGAUCUGCUUAGUGUAUCUACUUGUCAGAGCUUACUUUAUGUCACUUCAAAGUAUUUUCAAAGGAUCUGUUCAAGAUCUCAAUCUAUCAUAGUCUGUUUUAAGUCAUUUCAGUGUUAGUCAGAGUCUAUCAUCAAGAGUUGUCAGGAUCCUCCUUUUAUGAGCGCCCCCACCCCCUUUCUAGGCCUAUAUAAAGGCCCCCAUUGUAACUUGAGGGACUUACCUUUGAGUUGAAUCAGUUUUCUCCCCUAUGAGAACCUUUCCUUUUUUGCUUGUGGAUUCAGGCACCCUCUUGUGGACUCAAAGGUUGAAGACUCCGAAUCUGUGGAUUCAGAGGUUGGUUUCUUCUCCAAGAUUAGAGCUUUGUGGAUUCAAGCCCAAAUCUUGUUUAUCUUCCGCAUCACUGCUACGUCACUAAGGGUUUGAAAUGUGAGAAAAGGGUCUCUAAAAUUUCAAAUUUUAGACUGUUUUUAUUUUUUUUUUGCUGAUUUUUGACAGUCUACACUCUGCACUAUUUUCUAUUAUUUUUGACAGAACUAUGAAAUCAACACUAUAUUUUUUGAAAAAUUGCUCUUAUAGAUGAUGAAAAAUUACUAACAUAUGUUCAUGUUCAGUCUACAAUAUUAAGACUUAAUAUCUUCAUCACCUUACCCCCCAACUUAAAUUUGACAUUGUCCUCAAUGACACAAAUUACAAAAAAUAUAAUUUUCAAUCAAGUAUGCAUAUAAGCAAAAUUAAGCACGAAAAAUAUUGUAAUAAAGGAUCAAGUUCAAGAACAUAUAACCUCAGGCUUGCUUUCAAUUUCUCACUUUGUCUUACACUCCUCCUCCUGCACUUUUUUUUUUUCUUAAAAGAAGAAAAUAAUACAGAAAAAUAGAUGUUGCGAAAUUCAACAAAAGUAAAGUACUAAUUUAAAUAGAACCAUGGGUUGCCUCCCAUGCAACGUUGAGUUUAAUAUCUUCAGUUGGACACAUUAAUCUCAUUCUCGAAUUUCUUUUAAUAAUAAAAUCUCUUUCUCUAUAGGGCAUUCAUGUUCUAUGUAAGGUUUAAGCCUCUGUCCAUUUACCUUAAAACUAUGAUCAUUUUUAAUGUCUCUAAUCAUUACAGCUCCAUGAUCAUAUAUUUCUUCCACCACAUAAGGUCCUGUCUAUUUUGAUUUCAAUUUUCCUAGAAAUAGUUUCAAUCUAGAAUCAUAUAACCAUACUUUUUGUCCAACAUCAAAAAAUUUUCUGCCGAUGUACCUAUCAUGAAAUAUUUUCGUUUUUUCUUUUUAAAUUCUAUAAUUUUCGUAACCUUCAUUCCUUAACUCCUCUAAUUCAUGUAGCUAAAAAAUUCUAUACUCACCAACUGAUUUUUCAUCCAUACAUAAAUUUUUUAUAGCCCAUAAUACUUUAUGUUCUAUUUCCACAAGAAGAUGACAUGGUUUCCCAAAAAUGAGACGAAAUGGAGACAUACCUAUAGGAUUUUUAUAAGCUAUUCUAUAUGCCCAUAAUGUAUCUUGUAAUUUCGUGGGCCAAUCCUUCUUAUCUGGUCUAACUAUUUUUUUCAAAAUUAUCUGAAUUUCUCUAUUUGCUACUUCAGCUUGCC
rnacentral:lncRNA from 1 species